GGGAGGGUCUGGGCACCUGGAGGAAAAACCAGGGUGAUGCUCUGUGACCCGCCGUCACCUCGGGGAAGCCGGGGAAACGGGAGGGCCACUCCUUCUAACUCCUCGAUUCCCCGCGGUGUGUUUCUACAGACUCGGUGGCGGAGAGCACCGACUGCCGCCAGGAUGAGGAGGCUGCAGAUUGUUGCUUUGGGAGCAAAGGAUCUUGCUUCAAAAGUCUGAGGACAAGUUUGUCCUCUGCGAGCUUGGCUAGAAUAAUUCCCCGGUGGCCACACAACAGGGUGCACGUUGCCACUGAGGCAGAUGAAGCAAUGCACGACGAUGUCGUGGAGGCCGGUGGGAGUGAGAAGACCGAGGAGGAGGCCCGGGCUGGGGAAGAUGAGGACGAGGCGGCCCCAGUACCUGAGGUGGAGGAGGAGGAGGAGGCGGGCCGGCCCCGUGGAAAUGGCCAGCAGGAGUCCCCAGCCAUCGCCUGGGCUG